rnacentral:SRP_RNA from 10 species
CAGUAACGCUGCAGAGAUGAAGGCCGCCUGGGAGGAGGCGGCCAGGUUGACAAGCUCACUUUGGAU